rnacentral:lncRNA from 1 species
AAAGGGUCCCACCCAGGAGCAGCUGCUGUCGUUCCUCAAGUCAAAGUCCACCGACCACCUCAACUCCUUCGCCUCCCAGCUCGUGUCCGUGAUCUUCUCCGACGGGUCCCCCGUGGGCGGCCCCAAGCUGGCGUUUGCGAAUGGGGUUUGGGUGCACAAGCCUCUCCCGCUGAAGCCUUCCUUCGAGCAGGUGGUGGACGCUUCUUACAAGGCCGCUCUUGCCCCAGUCGAUUUUCAGACCAAUGUAAGCUCCCAAACCCUCUGUCAUGUCGUAUCGAUAGUGUUUUUUUUCAAUGCUGCUCAUGAUCAAAGUCUUCAAUUUUUUUCGAUUUGAUUGGAGAUGUUUGUUCCUUUGUUGAACCUAAAUUGCAGGCCUGCUGAUGCUCUUUUAUUAUUGUAGCAUUUCAAAUAAAUAUUUCCUCUCUAAUCAUUACUGUUCGUGCUUGUUCUUCUGAAUAGCUUAGCUGUUACGAAAUCGUAUCGUAGAUUUUUUGUUCGUUACUGUUUGUGGUUGUAAUUGAUCGAGAUAUGCAGGCUGAUAUCAUUGUUUUCUAACUUGUCGUAACUGUUGUUGGUGCUCAAGGCUGCUCAAGUGGCGUCGGGAGUGAAUUCAUGGGCUGAAAAGGAGACGAGCGGCCUUAUCAAGGAUCUACUUCCUCCCGGGUCACUUGACAGCUCAACCAGGCUCAUCUUUACGAAUGCAUUGUACUUCAAGGGAGCUUGGAAUGAGAAAUUUGAUGCAUCAGCUACAAAAGAGCAUGACUUCCACCUUCUCGACGGGAGCACAGUUAAGGCGCCCUUCAUGACCAGCAAGAACAAGCAGUAUGUAAGUGCCUUUGACGGUUUCUCAGUCUUAGGGCUUCCUUACAGACAAGGUGAAGACAAGCGGCGCUUCUCCAUGCACAUCUUUCUUCCACAGGCGAAAGAUGGGCUGCCAGCUUUGGUUGAGAAACUUGGCUCUGAGUCCGGGUUUUUAGAUCGCUAUCUUCCCAAACAACCAGUUGCAGUGGGCGACUUCAGAAUCCCAAAGUUUAAGAUCUCAUUUGGGUUUGAAGCUUCCAAUGUCCUAAAGAGUCUGGGACUGGUGCUGCCUUUCGAGGGUGAAGGAGGUCUGACAGAGAUGGUGGACUCGCCCGAGGGUAAGAAGCUAUAUGUUUCUAGCAUAUUCCACAAGUCGUUCAUCGAAGUGAAUGAAGAAGGCACAGAAGCUGCAGCUGCUUCUGCCGGCGUUAUAAGUGAGAGGAGGAUGCCCAUGACAUUUGUGGCUGAUCGUCCAUUCCUCUUCACGAUCAGGGAAGAAACGACCGGAACAGUUCUGUUCAUCGGUAACCUGCUCAACCCUCUUGCCGGCUGAGUGUUACAACCCCCUGGGAAAGGGCAUCAGAUGUACGUAGAAUAAUACGCGCGAGACUGUAGUAAAUAAAAUGUAUGAUCCUUGUAUACAUGUACUAUGUUUGGUUAUUACCUAAUCACCCUGUACUUGCAGCAGUUGGUCUUGUUUCUCCCAUGUGGCGAUUUUUGUUUGUUCUCCCAUGGCGUUUAUCCAUGUGUAGAAUCUUGAUUCUGAAUACUUAUUUUAUGAUGUACUCUGUUUGAACAAUAAAAGUUUUAGCCGACUGCAAACGUCGGUUAGUGUUAAAGUAUUUAAUAUAUAGAAUGGACGAGUGCUAGUGUUGUACCAUACACAUGGUUGGUGAUGAAAAAGAUUAAACUUUGAAUAUUCUAUAAAAUAUUAUUUAACUUGGGACGAGGAUCUUCUUUGUGAGGAUCUUAUGAAUUAAUUUAUCUUAACGGUUCAUUGUACAUCGUGUGACCAUCUUUCAUUAGAUACUUUUUGUGUUAAAUUUUAAAUAAAUUCAAAAUAAUUUUUGGCUGCAGGAUGAUUGAUAAACAGAUAUGAUGCAUUGAUUCCUAAAGUCCUCACAAAGAGAAUCCGGAUGUUUAUAGUCCUCCAUGACUGGAGAUGGCCUAAGAUGCUAAACACUUAACACUACCCAAUUUUUCCAGUUAGUUAAAUUUUCACAAUUAGUGUAUUAAAUUGCUUAAGAAAUGUUAUCAGCACUCUAAAAUAAUUGACCAUAUUUUCUUGACUCUUUUGUUAAAUUGCAUGAAGAUUUUUUUGGAUAGUCAAUAAUAUCUCCCAAUUGCUUAACAUAGAAUUAAAUAGAGUAUCGCUAACUAGAGCAUGAUAUGUUUCUGUGUCUUUGAUGCCCUUUGCUCGAGAAAAUUUAGUAUAGGGUUUUCAUCACAAAUGGUCCCUGACAUUGAUCAAACACAUCAUUUUGGUCCCUGACAUUGAAAAUCAAUAGAAAUGGUCCCUGACAUUGAUCAAACACAUCAUUUUGGUCCCUGACAUUGAAAAUCAAUAGAAAUGGUCCCUGACAUUGAUCAAACACAUCACAAAUAGUCCUUCCGUUAAAAACGUUUUGGGCAAUUUUCAAAGCUUUGUAACUCAAUCGUUUCUUAACCAAAUUCGACCCAUAAUAUAUCAAAAUGAAGAUAGGAAAGUGUAGAACAAGAUUAUACCUAUUUGGAAACCCAAUGGUUGCCGGAGAUGGCCGGAAAACAGCCUCAAAUGUGACUGGUCCGCGAAAAAACUGGAAAACUCGCCUGAAAUGGGGUAAACUUUAAACAUUCAUAACUUCUUCAAUAAUCAACGAAAUCGAGUGAUUCAAAAAUGAAAAUCAUACUUCUCGACGAGACUAAGAGAAUGGUAGCUUUCUUGAUGGCUAACUCAUUGUAGUUUGGCCGGAAAAUGACUCGAAAUUGGCUAACUCGAAAAUGGUUAUCCAAGUUCGAGCCAUUUUCCGGUCAAACCACGGUAAAUUAGUAGUCAAUAAAGAUACCAUUAUCUUUCUCUCAUUGAGAAGUAUGAUUUUCAUUUUUGAAUCACUCAAUUUCAUUGAGUAUUGAAGAAGUUAUGAAUGUUUAAAGUUUACCCCAUUUCAGGCGAGUUUUUCAGUUUUUUCGCGGACCAGUCACAUUUGAGGCUGUUUUCCGGCCAUCUCCGGCAACCAUUGGGUUUCUAAAUAGGUAUAAUCUUGUUCUACACUUUCCUAUCUUCAUUUUGAUAUAUCAUGGGUCGAAUUUGGUUAAGAAACGAUUGAGUUACGAAGCUUUGAAAAUUGCCCAAAACGUUUUUAACGGAAGGACCAUUUGUGAUGUGUUUGAUCAAUGUCAGGGACCAUUUCUAUUGAUUUUCAAUGUCAGGGACCAAAAUGAUGUGUUUGAUCAAUGUCAGGGAUCAUUUGUGAUGAAAACCCUUUAGUAUAUGAACGACAAACUACGUGUUAUUACGGCCACAGACGAUAAUCCAGACUAUUUGUUUAAUACUUAAGCUUACUUGUGGUCCCAUUAUGUAAAAAAAUUUUGCAUUAGUCUGCACACAAGAAAUUUUUUAUUGGUUUCAGUUGAGCUCAAAUAAUAAUAAUCUGUUCGUGUAAAAGUUAAAAUUUAUCUUAUUAUGUAAUUGAUUUAAAAUACCGUAAAUACUGAUUUAAAAUUAUCUCAUUGUCAGCUUGUGUGUCAUUCUCGUAGAAUUUGGAAUUAUUCACAUUGUUUAGUAACGUAGGAUAUUUCAAGAAGCAUUUUUGCUCACUAUCAUUUAGUGUAAUGUAUAUUCAUCAUUCUAUUUAUCAUCGUUAGAUGAGUUUGAAUUUUAAGAUCCGUGUAGUGGAUAGACACAAAUUUCAAAAUUCAAUCUCAUCUAACGAUAAUAAAUAUGAUGAUGAACAUAAAUCAAAUAAAUGAUGAUGAAAAAAAAUACAUAGAUAUUUCAGUACAUGAAAACGUCACGUUAAUGAAAGGAGCUGGAGCGCCUGCUGCUGACCUCGGUCAAACAGACGGUGUGGGUUUCACGUGGCUGGCGCGAAAUCUAAACCGUUAAUUUAAUGUUAGUUAUCUCUCCCCUUGUCACGACUCCCAUGUAAUGCUGUAAAGUCACAAGCACCCAUCGUUUGGUUCUAAUAUUACAACAGUACCGCCCAUGGAAACACAAUCUUAAGCAAUCUCUAAUACUCAUAAUGUUGUUGAAGUUUUGCACUAAUAAUAGUUGCUAAACAGUGAUUAGACAGUCAGAUAAGAGACAGGGUUUAUGAUGUGAUUUGGACGUCCCAUCCUUUGCCACUUAAAAUGUCUUACCUACCAAACAUAUCUUGAAAAAUAAUUUAGCUUGGUACGAAGAAUCACAAUUUUUGUUUAUAAUUGACGAAAUCAAUCAAUGCAUGUUUUUUAUCAAAUCAAUAUUUAUUGGGAUAUUCAUCCUUAAAAUCUUCAUUUUGUUAUAAAACAACAAUAUAUUUAUUAUUUUUAAAAUUUUGUAAUACGUUUAUUUAAGUAGUGACUUUGAACGUUUUAAAAUUGAAAAAUCAAUAUUUAAAUGCAAAGUUGUCCGUUUUGAAUAAUCUCUAACAAUAUUUUCCUUCUCGUAAAUGAGUAAGAUUGGUUUAUUUUGUACACAAUUAGAUAUUGAGAGUUGAAAUUCUAAAUACUAAGUUCUUCUUAACAUAUUUUCGUAACCAUUUAAGAUGUUUGUAUAUUCGAAGAAUAUGGAAAAAUUGAAUCAACCCAGAUUAUUAUUAUGGCUGUCGACAUCUUUUAUCAGAGGAUAGCCAUCAAGUCACACCGCAUAUCCAGAAAGAGAAAUCCAUCCAAAAAAUAGGAAAACGAAAUGACAUUCCUUAUUUUCCUCCAUGGACGUCCCUUCUCUCCCCACCACGAAGGUCCCAGCUGAAAAGAAACGGAUGGCACAAUCGUGAUUAUCACAAACAGGAAUGUCAAAUUGUAGCAAGAGCAUGGUCAGCGCCGUUACAAAUAAGUGGAAGUUCCUCGGAAGAGUAAGAGAACGCGACAAUCAUAACGUAAUCUAUCUCUUCACUUUCUCAAUCCUUUUCUAUCUUUUUUUUCUUUCUGGGUUCCUUGUACUUCUCAUAAAUAUUAAGAGUUUAAUUCAAAAGAAAGGAACUUUCUCUUUCAUUGCUUACAUUUUUUUUUUCAGAUUAUUUACUUUCCCUUCCUUGCAGUUGCUUGGAAGAAACCAAGCUCAGAAGACCUUUGUUUUUUGAGAAUUCAGUUCAAUCCGUUUAUAUAUAUAUAUAUAUAUGGUGUUGAUGAUUUACCAGAAGUGAUAGUGCUUCAACCGAGAAGAAGAAGCUUUUAGUCUUCAGAAAUUCAGAGAAAAGAUAAGGAAGUGGAAGAGUGAAGGAAAAGCAAAUCAAAAGAUGGGAGAAACUGCUCCUCAUCCUCCACCACAGGUGGUUGCUCGGCCGUCUCAGAUGCCUCUUGGGGCAGCGAAGGGUCCCCAUUUGGACUCCAACUGAGCAGCUCCACAACCUUCAGUAUUGCAUCCACUCCAACCCCUCUUAGCGUUAGUCUCUCUCUGUUUCUGUUAAUUUCUUCGUUCUGGGUUUUAUAUUUUUUGAGUAAAAAGCUGAUUAAAGUUGUGCUAUUUUAAUGGGUUGGUUUAAAAGUUGAAGCUUUUGGCACUACUUCUUAUUUAGUUUACUAGUUUGCUUUUUAUUCCUAAUUUUGCAAAUUACUUUUACUAUUUUUGUUUCGGAUUCUCUAAUUUAUUGUGUUCGAAUCUUUUUAAGUACUGUAAUUAGUUCUAAUAAAAUAAUAAGCAUAUGUUCCAUUACCAGUUUCAACUUAUCCUGCUUACAAGACAUCGAUAUCACUCGAAAAUGUUUAGGAAGUGUAAACGUAAAUUUCCCAUGUUUAUCAAAUGCAACAAACUGCUUCUAAUGGAUCGAAUUUUACAGCGGAAACAUUCGUACUCGCUUUUCAGCACUAUAUUGUGAUGCUCGGAUCCAUAGUUAUAAUUGCCACUAGUUUCGUGCCUCGGAUGGGUGGGGAUCAUGUAAGUUAUGUCCUCUAUACAGUAAAGUUUAUAAUAUGCCGGUUAAGAUUAGCGAUCACACACGUAGCUUUGAAUCCGUGAUGUUAAUGUUUGGGUUUUGUUCUCCCUUUGUGAUCAGGGUGACAAGGCACGCGUGAUUCAGACGAUGCUGUUUAUGGCAGCAAUAAACACUUUGAUCCAAACAUUCACGGGACAAGGCUUCCAACAGUGAUGACUUCGUCAUUCGCUUUUACCCUUCCGGUGAUGUCAAUCAUCAAUGAUUAUUCUGAUCGGAAUUUUAGAAGUGAACAUGAGGUAUGUAAAGUUUGAAACAUGUUAUUCAUAGAGGAUUUAACAUCACAUUAAUUUACUUCUUAAAUUGCUUUAAGAAAUUUCAGUUAUAGACUUUGAGAUGAAAAAUACGUGGUGCAAAAAACGUGUAAACCUUACAUACCUGUAGAAGACGUCAUGAUGAAUUUCUGGUUUUGAGGACGGAAUAGAUUGAAGCACGUCCAUGCACUGUUGCGUCAUAUGCAACAAACUGAUGGGGAGUUCUAGGGUUGUGGCAUUAGCAAUGUGACAGGGACCUCAAACUUACAUAGGCCUCACGUCCCUAGAACCCUACCCACUAAUGGAGACUAGAAACUCUUAUGAUCCUCUAACGAGAAUAAUAAAGCCAAUGGAAAUGUUAGCACACAAUUGUUGUACAUAUAACAGACUUCGAGCAAUUUUUGGAACACGUAAAACAUUGUUAAGAAUAAGAUCAUGAGUAUUGGUUUUAAUGGUUGUUGCAUCAAUAUUCUUAAUGGAUAAACCUGUUCCAUUUCCAACUGUGAUUUUAUCAAAACCUUGGAAUGGUGUAACUUGAUUCAAUGUGGUGGCAUCAGCAGUGAUAUGAUGAGAUGCACCAGUAUCAACAAUCCAUGCAUCAUGAGGAAUAUAUUGUUCUAUCUGCUGUGUUGCCAUAGCUGUUAAGUUUGCAGGUGGUUGUUGGCCUUGAAAAACAUAAUUCCCUUUGUGAUAACAUUCAAGAGCUGAGUGACCUUUUUUUCCCACAAAUCUGACACUCCAUUUGAAAUCUAGUAUUUGGUGUAGUAGCAUUUCUGUGAAAACAAUUGACUGCAGUAUGCCCUUUCUUGUUGCAGAUUUGGCACUCAAUCACUGUUGUUGACCUGCUCUCUGUGUUUCCAUUCCACACAUUUGAACCAUUUGACCUUGAAUUGCCAUACGAAAAAUCAGAAGAGUUUCCUAUGUUGUAACCCUUGCUUUUGAAUCCACCAUUUGUCUUGUAAUUAUUGUUACCCUUGUAGUUUGAACCACCAAAAGGUUUCUGCAUGAAAUGAGGUAUUGGACCAGAAUUUGAUGCAUUAGCCAUAAACCCAAAACCAUAGGGAACUUGAGGAUAAACUGGACCAGGAAAUUGCGGAGACAUAGGAGGUUGAGGCAUAUGAGGUUGCUGUGGAUAUUGUUGUGGCAAGACAAAUGGCUGUGGUUAUUGUGGCUGUGGAUAUUGUUGUGGAUAUUGCUGUGGUAAAACAAAUGGCUCAGCAGAAUAUGGAUAUGGAUUAGGAGUUAUAACACCACCAGUGGUUGCAGGUAAAUGACUAUGCCCUGCAGGAUUAGACCCUGAAGCAAAUGAAUUUCCCUGAGUUGACUAAGAACCCUAAACAUAUAAGGCAGAUAGACUUUGAGACCCAACACUUGUGUCUCAUUCAAUCUCUUUUUCAGCUCUAAAUUUUUUCAAGGAAAUGGAUGAUUCUUUGCCAUAUAUCACAGUUCGAAUAGUUGCAUACUCCUUCGGCAAACCAGCUAAACCAGCAAUUAUAACAUCAUUAUCAGAAAUGAACUCUCCAGUAGCAGUUAAUUGUUCUCUUAUACUCUUCAAUCUUAACAGAUAUUUAUCCAUCAAAUCUCCUCAUUUUUGAAUGGUGUACAACUCAAUUUUUAAAUGAUUUACCCUAGUUUUAGACACUGAAGCAAAUCUAUCCACAAGAUUCGACCAAGCCUCACAAGCAGUUAAACAUCCAAGAACAUAUUUAAUAGCCUCAUCAAACAAAGUAGCUAGUAAAAGACUUAGUAAUGGAUAUGUGGAUUCCCAUUCAACAUAUUCAGCAAGUUCAGAAGUAACUCCUCUCUUAGUAUCUAUUACAAAUUUUUGUGGACAACCAAUAGUGCCAUCAAAAUGCCCAAACAAUUUAUGACCUUUCAACACAUAUUUGAACUGAAAAGCCCAUUUCACAAAAUUAUCAUCCUUCAACUUUAUUGUGAUCAUUCCCAGUUUCAACUUUAACACUUGAAGUAGUCAUGAUUUCUUGAUCGAACACAUAGAAUUUGCAAAUAACAAACAAACACCCAAAAAUUUCUGAUAUACGUAUUGAAAGGAAAGACUGAAACUUUCUCACAACCCAAGCAAGACUGAAACUCGCUUAAUACUCAGGAAAAACUGAAACUUUCUUGAUGAAUCUUGCACACAAAUACAACACACAAUUCCAAUUCGGAAAAGAAAACACAAAAUCUUCUAAUCAGGACUGAAACCCAAUUACUCAACAGAAAUUCACACUAUCACUUGAAUUGCAGCUGUGAUUGCAGCCACAAAUAGCCAGAAUACCAACCGCCAGAAAGAACAACAAGGAUCUGCAAUCGCCAGAACUUUUGAACAAACCCGUUGAAAAGACCUUUCAGAAUCCUUGAACUGGAUAGCAGCGAAAGAACUAGGAUCGAAAACGGUAGUGAACCAUGGUCAGCGAUGAUACCAUAUUAACAGUGUUGAAUUGUGGCCAAGUGGCCAUCACCUUUCGGCUAAUAAACAAACAAAGAAAAGAAAAAGAAAGACAAAAUGAUGAGGAAACAUCAUGAUGAGGAGGCAUCAUGAUUAUGCUUUCUUGUAGUUUUUUAAUAACCAUAAUUAUUGUUUUUGUUUCGGGUAGAAGAGAAGAAAGGGAGAGCUCAUUUUUUAGAAGAAAGCAUAUUAAAGAGAGAAGAGGAGAGAGAGAAGGUAGAGCCUUUUGGUUAUAAAAGGCAUUCGAUUAUGCCUUUGGAUGUGGGAGGGGGGGGAGCGGCAGAUGAGAGAGCACAGGGAGAGCAUUCGGCUCUCCCAUUUGAAUAUGAGCUGCUCCUUCCCACCAUUUGUAAUAAUCCCAUUUUGUUAGUAAUCACUCAAUCAAAGAUGUUGGUGCUACUUGUGUAGCUUUUGGGAGAGAAGGAUUUUGAUAUGUGUUUCUUCUUCUCCAUUUGUUUCUUAGUUUGAGUGAGAGCUAUUGGGUGUAUGUGGGAUUUGGGUUUGAGUGUUGAACUCUAUUUGUAAUCUCCUUUUGAUAUUAAUGGAAUUUCCUCGCCGUCUCGGAACUGGAUGUAGGCUUACGCCAAACCAGUAUAAAAAUCCUUGUGUCUUUUGGAUUAUUUGUCUUGUCAUAUUUUGCCGUUAUUAGCUUUGAUUUCAUAUUUGAAGCUUCCGCACAACAAGUGGUAUCAAAGCUCCGGGUUUCGACUUGGAGGCUUUGUACUAGUAUGUCUAUGAAAUCUUCAAAUGACGGUGAAAUAUGUUUUUUGGAAAAAUUCGACUGGAGGAAUGACUUUGGCAUUUGGUCAAUUGGAGAUGCAGAGUUUGGCUGCAAAAUGCGUGGCGUUGAAGAAGGAUAGUAAGGGACUAUGCUGCAGUCAUUGAGCUUGCAGAUUGGAGAAUGGUUUCGGAAACAGCGUGUCUGCUGCAAUGUUGCCGUCGAUGUUGUUGAAGUGUUGGUGUUCGACAGCUGCAGAUGUAGUGUACUGCUUUUGGUGGGUUCUCUGUUGGUCAUCGCUGCACCGGAGGUGUUUGUGGGCUGUUGUCGACGAGUUGAGUGGGAAGGAGAAAAGGUAGAAGCAGUUGAAAAUUGAAAAGAAAAUGUUGGUUCUUUUUCUUUCGGCAUUUGUUUUGGCAGAAGGACAUCAUGAUGACAAAUGAUGUUGUUGGCUGGAAGAAAAGGGAAAAAGGCUAAGGCUAAGUUUUCUUUUCUUUGGCAUUUUUUCAACGGCAGAAAAUUUUUGGUUCUUUUUUCACUCCCAUUAGUUGCCUUUGGAGCAAGUUGAUGGAAACAUUGGAGGAGUUUGUGAGGGCCAAUUUGUUGAGUUCUGCAAGUUUGGAUAGUGAGGCACCACACUAUUUUGGAUACACCACAUGCACUGCAGAACAUUUGUGUGGAACCCUCUUGUAGAAGGCAAGUUAUAUGCUUUCUAACUUUGUUUGGUCUAUGGACAUUUAGUUGGAUUUGUUUGCCACUGCUAUUUGGUUUGUUGGUCUCCAUCAUCUGCAAUUAGUUUUCUUGAAGACUCCAGUUGAGGUAUGGUUUUGGAUCUCCUGCUGAUUAUUUGAAUUUGAAAUUUUUGGUUGUCCUGUUGGUGCUCAUGUGAUGAUGGUAAACUUGAGUGGAGGGCAUAGUUUUUUUGUAUGUGGUAUGUUAGACCUUGUUGCCAAAUUUGUAAUCAGUUUUGACUUGGAGAAUAUGCCGUGCUAUUUGAAUGAGUCUAUUGAUGCAGUUUAAGACCAUGGUGUUUGUAAGCAGGUGGAGUUCGUUCUGUGUCCAACUUUGGUAUGGUGUGCUUGAUCUUUUGUUAGUGAUAUUGAAGAAUUUCAGUUCUUCGUUUGAAUCACUUUUGUUUUGAUCAAGGCACUUAUGGUUUGCAAAUUUGGAGAAUACGGUAGAGAAAUGGUCUACUUUUGUUGGCUUUGGUAUAAUUUGAGUCGAGGUGGAGAUCAUUAUGAGUACCGGAAAGUUUGGGGAAUUUGAUUUAGUUCCCGUUGUCUUUAGUUUGUACUUUGGGUGAUUAUGGUGAUUGUUGAUUCGAUUCUCUGUGAUGGUUUCGGAACUUGGCCAAGGUGGAGAUUGUUGAAUUGUGGCCAAGUGGCCAUCAUCGGCUAAUAAACAAACAAAAGAAAAGAAAAAGAAAGACAAAAUGAUGAGGAAACAUCAUGAUGAGGAGGCAUCAUGAUUAUGCUUUCUUCUUUUGUGGUUUUUUAAUAACCAUAAUUAUUGUUUGUUUAUUAGCCGAAAGGUGAUGGCCACUUGGCCACAAUUCAACAAUCUCCACCUUGGCCAAGUUCCGAAACCAUCACAGAGAAUCGAAUCAACAAUCACCAUAAUCACCCAAAGUACAAACUAAAGACAACGGGAACUAAAUCAAAUUCCCCAAACUUUCCGAUACUCAUAAUGAUCUCCACCUUGACUCAAAUUGUACCAAAGCCAACAAAAGUAGACCACUUCUCUACCGUCUUCUCCAAAUUUAAAUCCUAUGAAGAAAGGGAGAGCUCAUUUUUUAGAAGAAAGCAGAUUGAAGAGAGAAGAGGAGAGAGAAGGUAGAACCUUUUGGUUAUAAAAGGCAUUCGAUUAUGCCUUUGGAUGUGGGGAGAGCGGCAGAUGAGAGAGCACAGGGAGAGCAUUCGGCUCUCCCAUUUGAAUAUGAGUUGCUCCUUCCCACCAUUUGUAAUAAUCCAAUUUUGUUAGUAAUCACUCAAUCAAAGAUGUUGGUGCUACUUGUGUAGCUUUUGGGAGAGAAGGAUUUUGAUAUGUGUUUCUUCUUCUCCAUUUGUUUCUUAGUUUGAGUGAGAGCUAUUGGGUGUAUGUGGGAUUUGGGUUUGAGUGUUGAACUCUAUUUGUAAUCUUCUUUUGAUAUUAGUGGAAUUUCCUCGCCGUCUCGGAACUGGAUGUAGGCUUAUGCCGAACCAGUAUAAAAAUCCUUGUGUCUUUUGGAUUAUUUGUCUUGUCAUAUUUUGCCAUUAUUAGCUUUGGUUUCAUAUUUGAAGCUUCAGCAAUACAAACAGUACAAGAUCAAUGAAUUCCUAUGAAUGAAUAAACUAAAGAAAUCGAAGAAAGAGAAUAACGAGAGAGAAAAGCUUUUCAUUUAUAUUGCUCUAACAGAAAAUGAUUACAUGAUAAAAAUCUAAGUCUCCAAAACAAUAAUUAUAUAGAGACUAGAAUGAGCAGAAUCACAAUAUUGCCUUUCUAACUAAUUCUUAUCUUCUAACAACCUCAACACUCACAAGCUUGACACUUGUCAUUUCUUACAACCACUCCUAACAAAUCCUAACUGUUUAUCUGGUUAAUAUAACGGAUGGCCGACGACCGACACCGAGAUUUUCCCAAACCUUGGUCCUUACUCUCGUAUAAAUUCGAAACGAACAGUAAACAAUUUUCUCGCAAUCGGAAGCACGGCAAACAUGGAUCUGAGAGAAAGCAUCAUCAACCAAAACGACGUCGCAAGGAGGCUGACGAAGCAGCUGGUUCAGACCGAAGGCAAGCAGUCGAACCUCGUGUACUCGCCGCUGUCCAUCCACGUGGUGCUGAGCCUGAUCGCAGCCGGGUCAAAGGGUCCCACCCAGGAGCAGCUGCUCUCAUUCCUCAAGUCAGAGUCCACCGACCACCUCAACUCCUUCGCCUCCCAGCUCCUGCCCUUUAUCUUCUCCGAUGGGUCCCCCGUGGGCGGCCCCAAGCUGGCGUUUGCGAAUGGCGUUUGGGUGCAGAAGCCUCUCCCUCUGAAGCCUUCCUUCAAGCAGGUGGUGGAAGCUUCUUACAGGGCCGCUCUCGUCCUAGUUGAUUUUCAGACCAAUGUAAGCUCCCAAACCCUCUGUCAUGUCGUUUCGAUUGUUUUUGUCGAUGCUGCUCAUGAUCAAAGUCUUUGGUUGUAAUUUCAGACCAAUGUUUCAAUGUCGAUGCUGCUGAUGCUCUUUUGUUCGUUACUGUUUUUGGUUGUAAUUGAUCGAGAUAUGCAGGUUGAUAUCAUUGUUUUCUAACUUGUCGUAACUGUUGUUGGUGCUCAAGGCUGCUCAAGUGGAGUCGGAAGUGAAUUCAUGGGCUGAAAAGGAGACGAGCGGCCUUAUCAAGGAUCUACUUCCUCCCGGGUCACUUGACAGCUUCACCAGGCUCAUCUUUACCAAUGCAUUAUACUUCAAGGGAGCUUGGAAUGAGAAAUUUGAUGCAACAGCUACAAAAGAGCAUGACUUCCACCUUCUCGACGGGAGCACAGUUAAGGCGCCCUUCAUGACCAACAAGAACCAGCAGUAUGUAAGUGCCUUUGACGGUUUCUCAGUCUUAGGGCUUCCUUACAAACAAGGUGAAGACAAGCGGCGCUUCUCCAUGCACAUCUUUCUUCCACAGGAGAAAGAUGGGCUGCCAGCUUUGGUUGAGAAACUUGGCUCUGAGUCCGGGUUUUUAGAUCGCUAUCUUCCCAAACAACCAGUUGCAGUGGGCGACUUCAGAAUCCCAAAGUUUAAGAUCUCAUUUGGGUUUGAAGCUUCCAAUGUCCUAAAGAGUCUGGGACUGGUGCUGCCUUUCGUGGGUGGAGGUCUGACAGAGAUGGUGGACUCGCCCGAGGGUAAGAAGCUAUAUGUUUCCAACAUAUUCCACAAGUCGUUCAUCGAAGUGAAUGAAGAAGGCACAGAAGCUGCAGCUGCUUCUGCCGGCGUUAUAAGUGAUAGGAGGAUGCCCAUGACAUUUGUGGCUGAUCGUCCGUUCCUCUUCACGAUCAGGGAAGAAACGACCGGAACAGUUCUGUUCAUCGGUAACCUGCUCAACCCUCUUGCCGGCUGAGUGUUACAAUCCCCUGGGAAAAGGCAUCAUGUGUACGUAGAAUAAUACGAGAGUAUAGUAAAUAAAAUGUAUGAUCCUUGUAUACAUGUGCUAGGUUUGGUUAUUACCUAAUCACCCUGUACUUGCCGCAGUUGGUCUUGUUUCUCCCAUGUGGCGAUUGUUGCUCGUUCUCCCAUGGCGUUUAUCUAUUUGUACAAUCUUGAUUCUGAAUACUUAUUUUAUGUUGUACUCUGUUUGAACAAUUAAAGUUUUAGCCGACUGCAAACGUCGGUUAAGUGUUAAAGUAUUUGGACAGGGAUUGUCUGCUUUUUCAUUUUUCGUGUCCUUCUGUUUUGUGUGUUCACAGUUAAACUACGUCAAUAUUUUAUAUUAUUUUUUUAUAGAAAUAAUAAGAUAAAAAUAAAUAAUAAUAUAAAAUAUUAACGUGACUUAACUGUAACCACACAAACAGGAGGGCACGGAAGACCACCGGAAGUGGAAGAGCGGACAUUCUUGUCCAAAGUAUUUAAUAUAUAGAAUGUACGAGUGCUAGUGCUGUACCAUAUACAUGGUUGGUGAUGAAAAGGAUUAAACUAUGAAUAUUCUAUAAAAUAUUAUUUACCCUAGGACGAGGAUUUUCUUUGGAUCUUCUUUACGAGGAUCUUAGGAAUUAAUUCAUUUUAACGGUUUAUUGUACAUCGUACGGUCAACUUUCGUUAGAUACUUUUUAUGUUUAAUUUUAAAUAAAUUCAAAAUAAUUUUUCACUGCAUGAUGCAUUGAUUCCUAAAGCACUCGCAAAGAGACUCCAGAUGUUUAGUUCUCCAUGACUGGAGAUGGCCUAAGAUGCUAAACACUUAACACUAACCAAUUUUUCCGGUUAGUUAAAUUGUUUAAUAAAUGCUAUCCACACUCUAAAAUAAUUGACCAUAUUUUCUUGACUCUUUUGUUAGAUUGCAUGAAAUAUUGUUCGAGUAAAUAAUCUCUCAAGUAUCACUCAGACUUCAUAAUGAUUUUGAUUUUGAUUACAUAGUAAGCAUGUCAUUAAGGUCAAAUUUUGAACAAACACCCAAUUACAUAGCACGCAUGUUAUUAUGGUGUAUGCUCAUUGUCACUUUCAAAACUUGACACCUGUCUACUAACAUAACCGAUGGCCGACGACCGACACCUUCCCAAACCUUGGUCCUUACCCUCGUAUAAAUUCGAAACGAACAGUAAACAAUUUUCUCGCAAUCGGAAGCACGGCAAACAUGGAUCUGAGAGAAAGCAUCAUCAACCAAAACGACGUCGCAAGGAGGCUGACGAAGCAGCUGGUUCAGACCGAAGGCAAGCAGUUGAACCUCGUGUACUCGCCGCUGUCCAUCCACGUGGUGCUGAGCCUGAUCACAGCCGGGUCAAAGGGUCCCACCCAGGAGCAGCUGCUCUCAUUCCUCAAGUCAAAGUCCACCGAUCAC